GACAGAGGUGCCGAGCGUUAGGCGGAAUCACUGGGCUUAAAGCGUGUGUAGGCGGGUCGUUAAGUGUCUUGUGGAAAUCCCACCGCUCAACGGUGGAACUGCUGGGCAUACUGGCGAUCUUGAGCCACCUAGGGGCAGACGGAACAAGCGGUGGAGCGGUGAAAUGCAUAGAUAUCGCUUGGAACGCCGACGGUGAAAACAGUCUGCUGGGGGUGUGCUGACGCUGGAGACGCGAAAGCCAGGGGAGCGAACGGG
rnacentral:rRNA from 1 species